GACAGAGGGGACAUUUGGAUAAUUACCAUCCAUUGGCUAGUCAAUCACGCGAACAGAGAGAAACUGCACAAAACCCACAAUGGAGUUGGGAAACAAAAGAGACCCGAGCCAGACUCAGGAUUAACCGGUCUAAAGCGAUCUAAAUGCUUUUGUAUCUGAAGAACUGAGGCUCCCCGGUUACCCCCCCUUCCCAAUCCCAGGGAACUAAUUGCGGGGAUCAGAGUUAAAGCUCUCUCUCUCCUUUCCCCAUUCUCUUUGUAGACUGCUCACCACGCAGAAAAAAAAAAAAAUGAUUUCUCUCUCUGUGUUCAUUAAACUAUUUUAAAGUUAAAGGGAUGGGGGAGGGAGGCUCGAUGUGGCCCCUCAGCCCAGAGGCUGGGAUUCUUCAGCCUUCGAAGGGGCUGGGACAGUCUCCUUGCCCUCAAUUCUUUGUUUCGGGGUAAAGUCUUCCCUCCCUGCCCCUGGAAACAAAUGCCCUGUUCACUGGGGAAGUUGCCCUUUGCCUGGAGGCUAACAUGGAUGGCUGGUACCCCGCUUUGGGUGAUGAGUCCCCAUAACUGGCCCCUGCACCAGAAAAACACAAGGUCCAACCCCUGGCCGAAACCUCAAAUUGAGUCUGCACACUCAGAAUUAAGUGGGCUAAAAAGGUGACAGAGAAGGGGAUCUAGGCUUCAAAAUGGGAGAGUGAGACAGAAGACGGUUGUAAAUUGUUAAGGAGAGAGAACUUCCUUAUAAACUGGGGAGUGAGAAAGAGGAAGAAAAUCCUAAAUCGGAGCAGGGAGAGAAUACGCUUAAUUGGGGAAAGAAACGAGAAGAGUCUCUUUCUGCCGGAGAAAGAGCGAGGCAAAGACUUGAAUCCUCAAAAGAGACACAGGAAAAUGGUCCCAUAAAUUUUCAGAGACACGGAGAUGAAGGCGAGAGAGGAUGAGGAUUCCUUGAAAGAUAAACGACAAGAACAGAGAUCUCUGUCCCCGAGAGCAAGACCCCCCACCCCCACCCCCACCCCCUCGCCCCCGAUCCCAGGACGGAAGGACGGGUAACUACCUCACCCAUUUCCCACCAGGUCCUCCCUGUGCAAUUCUAACUCGCCCAAAGCCCUCCCGGCCCCGGCGGGGCUCUCGCGCGUCCCCGGCUCGGUGGCAGAGGAGGACUCGCUGUCCCUCCCUCUAUCCCUUCUUGGAACGGCAGCCCGGGAAUGCAGCUCAAGUCAUUUCUCCGCUGAGACCUCGGACAAGUCACUUCCUCCCAGCUGCAGUGUCCUUUUCUCUAAAAGGCGUUAAGCGGCUCUUGGUGGUGAGGCUGGGAGGGGCACUGGGUGGGGGGCACGCAGGAGGUGCUCAGUGACUCUGGUUUCCCCUCUCGGAGUUCAUACUUACCCGGAGGCAGCAGUCACUGUGGUAGCCGCCUGGAACCAGGGCUCCUGGGGUGCCACGUGUGCCC
rnacentral:lncRNA from 1 species